AACGAACGCUGGCGACAUGCCUAACACAUGCAAGUCGAACGAGACCUUCGGGUCUAGUGGCGCACGGGUGCGUAACGCGUGGGAACCUGCCCUUAGGUUCGGAAUAACUCCCCGAAAGGGGUGCUAAUACCGGAUAAUGUCUUCGGACCAAAGAUUUAUCGCCUUUGGAUGGGCCCGCGUUGGAUUAGCUAGUUGGUAGGGUAAAAGCCUACCAAGGCGACGAUCCAUAGCUGGUCUGAGAGGAUGAUCAGCCACACUGGGACUGAGACACGGCCCAGACUCCUACGGGAGGCAGCAGUGGGGAAUAUUGGACAAUGGGCGAAAGCCUGAUCCAGCAAUGCCGCGUGAGUGAUGAAGGCCUUAGGGUUGUAAAGCUCUUUUACCCGGGAUGAUAAUGACAGUACCGGGAGAAUAAGCGCCGGCUAACUCCGUG
rnacentral:rRNA from 1 species